rnacentral:rRNA from 1 species
UACGAAGGGGGCUAGCGUUGCUCGGAAUUACUGGGCGUAAAGGGCGCGUAGGCGGGUCGUUUAGUUAGAGGUGAAAGCCCAGGGCUCAACCCUGGAAUUGCCUUUAAUACUGGCGGCCUUGAGUAUGGCAGAGGUGUGUGGAACUCCGAGUGUAGAGGUGAAAUUCGUAGAUAUUCGGAAGAACACCAGUGGCGAAGGCGACUGACUGGACAAGUAUUGACGCUGAGGCACGGAAAGCGUGGGGAGCAAACAGGG